rnacentral:misc_RNA from 1 species
GUGAAUCAUCGAAUCUUUGAACGCAUAUUGCGCUCGAGGCUUCGGCCAAGAGCAUGUCUGCCUCAGCGUCGGGUUAAUACUCGCUCACCCCAAACCCUGCGUUUGGAGCGCGGCGGACCUGGCUGUCCCAGCCCUCUGUGAUUCAUCACAGCAGCGCGCUGGGUUGGCUGAAGAACAGAGGUUGAUGCAAUGGACCCGUUAAGGGCCUCGGCUUUGGUAGUGCAACUCGUUGCUCAAUGCUAACAGCUGAUGGCCUGGGACCGUGCUGUCAACCCAAACCAGGAAAAAACAUUAACCAUU